UCUCUUUCCUUCGCAGCGCGUGCGGCUGGUGUCAGAGGCUUCUGCUCUUUUCCGUUUGGUAGAGGCCUGUGGUAACGAUGUGAAUUUAACCCGCUCAACGCAGGCAGCCCAGGGCUCGCUCUGCAGGGGCUUCACCCAAAUGAAGGUGAACUAAUUCAGCCUUGAGGAGGCCUUACUCUCACUGCAGUGUCAUCAGUCUUUAAGAGCUGAGGAGGUAUGGUGUGGGUUCUGGCUUCGAAGGUACUGCUCUUACCUUUGCCCACCCUUUCACUACUAUCAGACGCGGGAAGAGUGGCCCCUCCGAGCUUUACAUAAGGCCAAAUCCAUUGUCCAGUUAAUCAGUUUUUAUCCUGGGUUUGGUUGUCCUCCAGACCUUGAAUCCAGAUAUGCAUGGACUUGAUUAAUUUGUUAUCCAGUAGGGGUUAGGAGAUUCCCCACUUGUCACUCUUCAUUCUUUUGUAACCCAGUAAUGGGAUGGUUUGGGCCAUACAGGUGAUGCUGUUAUGCUUAACAUUUAUUAUGAGUUGUCUGUCUUCAUGAUUGUCAAGCAGAAUUUAAAGUAUAACUGUGUACGGUGCUUGUAUAAGUAUUGUUCACUACACUGUUUUGGAAUCAGUUUGUACUGUUGGGGAUCUUACACACAAGAGUGGCAAUGAAUUUGCCUUUUGCAAAUGAUGUUCUUUGCUUUUCUGUUUAGUUUCCUUUUCUGUUGCUGACCCUCAAAAAGAUAUUUGGCUUAUAGUGGAUGCAGAUGAAUGAACAGACGGCAGCAGUCAGGCAGCCCUGAGAACCACAAGGGUUUUCUGAGGAAGGAGGCAUAAUAUUGCAAGCUUGAUUUCAUCCUCCAUUCUGAUCAUUUGAUGUCCCACUGUCUGGCAGCUGAUUUGUUUAGUGACCCAUUGAUCUGAAAUACACAAAAGUGGCUGACCAGUGAAUUCCAGGGUAUCUAAGAAACCCAAAGUAGAUGUGAUGGACCCAGGAGACAUGCUACGGAGGCAAGAAUCCUCUUAGACGUUAUUUACCACCUAAUCGGUUGUUGUAUUAAUUAUGGCUGGUGAGUACAUUUUUAUCCUUUCAAGUUUACUUUAAAAAUAUUUAAAGAACUAGGACUUUAAAAUAGUUACAGUCAUUUACAUUUUCCCAGGCCCUGUUAAUCAGUUACGGCUUUUGCAGUUUCCCUGUAAUUAUCUUUGCUUUCCUUUUCUGCUUUGGCACUUGGGUAGCUGCACAUGGCAACUUAACGUUUGUAGAUCUAGCUGAAAAUCUUGGGUGGCGGGAGGGUUGGCUGGUGGUAGAUAGGAUAUAGAGAGGUGUUUGGGCUCUCUGGAGUUAAUUCAUCUUACCCCAUGACUAUGGAUAUUUUGAAAAGUGGUCUGUUUUUCAACUUGGUUGAAACUUCAUAAGGUAUUAGAAUAUUUUUCCACUUGGGGGGAAGAAAACAAGUUCUGAAGAAUAAGUUUGUGUUUGCAGAAUACAAAACUAUUAUUUCUUAGUAGGUUGUCAUUUGUCAUUAGAAAAAUGAUACUUGGCUGAAAGUCCUUGCUUCUUAAAAUCUAAAAACCUAAAAUUUCAUCCUUCAUCCUUUGUCUAAUUUAUACUUUCGUGGGAAUAAAUAACCCUAUUCGUUGGCAGAGCCAGCAAACCAAUAUAUACAUACAUACAUAACACAGUUUAAUAAUCCUUAGUCAAGACUUUAGGUGUUUUGUCAGUGUACAGUUUGUGUCAGGAAACACUGUCAAAAGACACUUGACUUGAUGCCCAGGAUAGCCUAGACGGUAAUAAACUCAUGCUUCAACUGAAUAAGACCUCCACAAGAUGUCUUGAGGAAACCAAGGUUUAAAGAUAACUGGCCUGCACAUUUACUAGGUUGAGUCACGUGAAAUUGCUGAUAACUGAUCAGAAAGAAAGGCUGUUUUCUGGGUCACCCUCUUAUAACUGUCAAUUAAGAAAGGAGCAGCUUCACUGUUUAAAAAGUUUGAUGUGGUUGGGGAAGAUUUUCCCCAUGGCAGUUAGUCAUGACUGGACUGUGCUUAGGGCUGCACUGAGGAGACACCAGCUCUGGUGAGUUUCUUCUGAAAUUGUUUUUGUGGAAGGAAAGGGAGGGGUAUGGGGUUUUGCUGGUCAAUCAGCAGCUCAGGAUAGUUGGGGGAGACGGUUUCUUCUUCAAGUACCUGUGAGAAAGUUAUUUUUUUGUCUUAUUUACUGCAGAAUUAGAAUUCCAGGUCACUGGAACAUGUGACUGGUGUGUUCUACAUAUUAAUGCAGCCUGACCAUUUUCUAUUUGGUUUAGAGACAGACUUGGCUAAGAUGAAUCAAUUCUAUUUGCCUUCCAGCUAUUAGAAUACAUUUUUUUUGGGGGGGGGGCUGUGAAAUAACUUUGGGCCAGAGACCGAAACAGCAGACAAAGGUAGCAGUAUGUCUAGUGGACAAGAGUGGCUCUCUAGAGUCUGUGAUUUUUGAAUACAACUCUGCAUUAAGGUACAGGUAGGUAUCGCAGAACCUUAAUACUUUUCAAUGUUCCUGGCAACUGAAUUCUUUAACACCUAGGCACUACAUAGCAUGGGGGAUGAGGAACAGUCCCUGUUCCUGGUAGUGUUCUUCAUUUGACAGUUCUGGCUCAUGAGGUCUGCCAAGUAUUUUGGGGGAUAAGACUUAUCCUUGAACUUGUCGGGGUCUAAUGAGUGAAACCCAGCCCACAUUAAGGAGCAUAUGUCAGAACAUUAACUAAACUGGGAUUUCUGCAAUUAUUCUUUCUUGGUUACCACCUGGAAGCUCGUAAGUGGCUUCACUUUUAUAACUGUGGACCCAGCACAUUUUUUAUAUACAGAUAUAUAUCAACUAAAUGAAUCCUAUUUUUAAAUGACAUUGAGUCAGACUUAGUCCAAUGAGAAGCUAAUUUCACAAGGUUGAGGGAUGCCUGUCACCCACUGGCUUUUAGGAAUGCAUGUUCCAAACAUCUUCAUGAGUUCAGAGUGAGACAUGUCCCUGCAGACACACUAGACUUGAUUGCUGAAACCAGGUCAGUAGAAACCAUUGAAGUUUAUUGGCGGUCACAAUGCUUACACUGUAUGCAGCAAACACCCUUACAAGUCUAUCCGCAACCUGAUCACGCAAGAAAGGAUUCACCACACAGUCGCCAGAGGAGAAGGAAAAAAAAAUUAACAGGCUUGUUUCUGGGGGUAGAGGAGAGAAAUAAAAAAAAAACCUAAUUGAUGAGUGUCCCAUGGGCAAGAGCUGAACUAGAGAUGCGUACAACUAGCAGCAACAAUUGUGGAAAAAGUACAAGGCAAAUAGCUUUCUCCAUUAAUUUUCCUCCGUAGGUUAAUUUUUUUUAAUAUUCAAAACAUUUAUUAUGGUUUUCAUUUUAUAAAAAUGUAUAUUUUUAAAGGGGUGGGAGAAUGUUAAAUACUUCAUGCUAGGUAGGCCUUGUUAUUAAGAACCCC